GUGCGGACAUGGCGCGGGUGCUCAUCGUGGGCGCCGGGCUGACGGGCAGCCUGUGCGCGGCGCUGCUGAGGAAAGAGACGCCCCGGCCUGUGCACCUCACGGUGUGGGAAGAGGCCGGGGACUCAGAAUCCCUGUUUUCUCAUGAAACCUGAGUGCAAGAGUGAAAGCAUUCCUUGACUGAUGCAUCCUGACAUGUCAUUCGUUGUGUCGUUUUAUUUGAUCCAUUCAUCCGUUCUUUAAUGAAACAUGGGAGUCCGUGCUCCCGGCGCCGAGCUGAACAACGCUUGCCGCCCCAUUCUUGUGCCCUCUUUGAGAAAGGGCCUCACGGUGACCAAAUUGCCUCUGGACUGCUUCCUGACCAUGGGGGGAGAAUGGCUACGGCCCGGAGUCCUUGCAAUCCACAGAGCACCGUUGACUUGGGAGCCCAGUACAUCACCCGCACUCCCCAUUAUGCUAAAAAACACCAAAGUUUUUAUGAUGAACUGUUAGCUCACGGCAUUUUGAAACCUCUGACCUCUCCAAUUGAAGGGAUGGUAAUGAAAGAAGGAGACUGUAACUUUGUGGCACCUCAAGGACUUUCUUCAAUCGUUAAGCAUUACCUGGAAGAAUCAGGUGCCGAGGUCUCCUUCCGACACCGUGUGACCCAGAUCAACCUGAGAAAUGGCAAGUGGGAAGUGUCCAAGGAAACAGGUUCCCCCGAGCGGUUUGACAUCGUUGUCCUCACGAUGCCGGUUCCACAGAUUCUGCAGCUCCGAGGUGACAUCGCAAACUUAAUUAGUGAAUGCCAAAGGCAGCAACUGGAGUCUGUGCGCUACUCUUCUCGCUACGCUCUGGGCCUCUUUUAUGAAGCUGGCACGAAGAUUGAUGUCCCUUGGGCUGGACAGUACAUCACCAGUAAUCCCUGCACACGCUUCAUCUCCAUCGAUAAUAAGAAACGCAAUAUAGAGUCAUCAGAAGUGGGACCUUCCCUGGUGGUUCACACCACUGUCCCAUUUGCAGUCUCAUACCUGGAGCACAGCACUGAGGACGUGCGGGAGCUAAUCUACCAGCAGCUGGAAAGCGUUUUGCCAGGUCUGCCUCAACCAGUUGUCACCAAAUGCCAGAAAUGGAGAUAUUCCCAGGACUCAAAGAAUGUGUCCACUGAGUAAAGAAAGCAACACAUCAUCUACCACUGUGUCCUUAUGUGACAGAAUUGACCAAUCAAAUGUGAACGUUAGCUUGGAACCACAUCAUGGAAAACACCGAGGACCAUGAUGACAAAUUUGGAAUGUGUUAAGUAGAAGAUGAAGACCCUUUGGCAGGUGCAUUUGGCUGCGAAAGAAAGAAAGAAAGAAAGAAAGAAAGAAAGAAAGAAAGAAAGAAGAAAGAAAGGGGAGGGAUCUGUCUCUGUUCUCCAGCAUGAUUACUCAAACCAGGCUUUAAGAAAAGAUACAGAGUGACAAUCCCAUUCCACUGUCUUCCCAAAACACUCGCUGAAAAACACCCAAGACACCGGAGAGAUCAGAAAACAGAACAUACACUCAAAGACCUGAAUGAACGUUCAAGGAAAUAAAAUACUACUUCUUUCCAGCUGAUUCAUCUCCGGAUUGCCUCUCGUUGGAUCAUCUUGGUUGCUACUUACCCAUUCCUGACCUAUCCCUGCUGUCAGGAAGAUAAGAUAUCAUGAUUAGUCAAGUCCGGGCGUCAUGCUUACCACGGGUCCAGGGAACAGGGCCAAACAUAACUUGCUAUUGUUGGAUAGCAUUGAAAGACAAAACAAGAGAUGUUCACUACGGCGUUAAUGCACCUGGACAUUUUAUAGACCAAGUUGACAUCAGUGAAAUAUAGCUUAUUGGAAUUACGAAAAACAUGGUAGGAAGAAGGGCUGAGGUAAGAUCACUCGAGACUUUUGAACAGGGCAAUGCUGUUUGAGUUCACACGACACUCUAAUCUCAAAUAUCCAACUCAAAAUGCUUUUUCAUGAAGAAGAAAGUUUCUUCAAUGCAUGGAGGUUAUGUGUUUACAGGAAGGCCAUGUGUUUAGAGUAUUCAUAUACAAACAGGCAAGGUUUUCUAAAUAUCCAGGAAGUUAUGCAAAAAUAUAAAAGAAGGCUUGAUCUUUCUGGUAAAUUAAUUCUGUUAGAGUAAGUUCACACAUUAGCUGGCAUGAAGAUAAGAUGAAUCUAAGUAAAGAGAGGCCUCGCAUUUCUUUUACUAAUUCAUCCAUUCAUUUAUUAUAUUCCUCCUCCUCCAUGCAAGCCAUUCAAGCCAUCAUGGCUUGGAAUCCAAAGAGAAGUAUGGGUUUGGCCCCUUGCAUUCAAGUAUUACUAUGGAAUAACAGAAAAGUAAUAGGUACAUCGUCACAGAAUUCCAAAUCCGCAUCAAGUAGUGAGCUAAGCAACAUACAUAUUCUGCAAGGUGAAUAUUGUUGUCUCUUAUUGAACUGAGGUUCAAAGACUUAAAGAAAAUACCUCCAAGAAACACAACUAGUAGAUAUCAGGGACGUAGAAUUCAAAGCCUGUCUGUGUGUCUUUCACGCUACUGGACUGCCUUCCACAUCGGUACUUGCUAAUUGUAUUGUUUCUAAAGUCAGUGACUAGAAUCCCAAUUUAAAAAAAGAGAGAGAAAGAGACAGAGAGAGAGAGAGAUUCAAUGCUGAUGAAGUUAUUUGUCAGGGAUGAGUUUCUGAUUUGCAAAAAGAAGUAACUGUUCUAUAUUUUGGGAACUUAAAAAUCACACACACGGGCGCCUGGGUGGCUCAGUCAGUAAAGCAUCCGACUUGGGCUCAUGCCAUGAUCUCGCGGUUCGUG